CCUACGGGUGGCAGCAGUGAGGAAUAUUGGUCAAUGGACGAGAGUCUGAACCAGCCAAGUAGCGUGAAGGAUGACUGCCCUAUGGGUUGUAAACUUCUUUUAUAUGGGAAUAAAAUGUUCCACGUGUGGGAUUUUGUAUGUACCAUAUGAAUAAGCAUCGGCUAACUCCGUGCCAGCAGCCGCGGUAAUACGGAGGAUCCGAGCGUUAUCCGGAUUUAUUGGGUUUAAAGGGAGCGUAGGUGGAUUGUUAAGUCAGUUGUGAAAGUUUGCGGCUCAACCGUAAAAUUGCCGUUGAAACUGGCAGUCUUGAGUACAGUAGAGGUGGGCGGAAUUCGUGGUGUAGCGGUGAAAUGCUUAGAUAUCACGCAGAACUCCGAUUGCGAAGGCAGUUCACUGGACUGCAACUGACACUGAGGCACGAAAGUGUGGGUAUCAAACAGGAUUAGAUACCCCUGUAGUC
rnacentral:rRNA from 1 species